CAAAAACGAAAUCGGAAAAAAGAGGAGGAAAUGGUGACAAAUUUAGGGCCGUUCCGUCCGGUUGAUGACCACACCGGCGGGUGCGACUGAUGAGCUUUGCGGCACACUGCCGGGUCGUUCACAACGCAGCCGGAGACCCGACUCCGGAGGUCAUUCCCGAACCCGGAGGACCUGAUCCCCACUCAACCGAUCCCGGCGACAUCUAAGAAUAAACAGACACCACACGGUUUUUAACCGGUGAGAUGCUCGCCGGAGCAAGCACUCAAUCUCCAACUUCCUCAUUAGCUCCUCCUCCGUCUUGACGAGGGUUCUCCAACGGUCUUGCCUCAACACCACACCUUCAGAUCCGGUCGAGGAGGACCCAAAAAAUGGAGCUGCUUCAGACAUGGGACACCAUCCGCAGCACCUCCUCAACUCGCAACGCAACCCACCGAACCCCACCGACGGCUUCCGCUGCUUGCGGCGGCUCAGAUCUACUUUCUUCUUCAUGGCUUCUCGUUCUCCUCACCCACCGCCGUCCUCAAAGCAGUCUCAGAUCUGGAUAAUAAAGCAUGCCACUGUCGAAUACAGAUAGUCCAGCCACCGUUUGCUCCGUCGGAGAGUUUUCCACGCCUCAGCGUCGCCGGAGAAGGAGUGGCAGAGCACUAUUGGUUCACCUUGCUUUCACCGGAGCAUUGAAGCACCCAACAACCUUGAGCCUCUCACG
rnacentral:lncRNA from 1 species